GAUGAAGAACGUAGCGAAAUGCGAUAAGUAAUGUGAAUUGCAGAAUUCCGUGAAUCAUCGAAUCUUUGAACGCACAUUGCGCCCUCUGGUAUUCCGGGGGGCAUGUCUGUCCGAGCGUCAUUGCUGCCCUCAAGCACGGCUUGUGUGUUGGGCCUCCGUCCUCCUCCCGGGGGACGGGCCCGAAAGGCAGCGGCGGCACCGCGUCCGGUCCUCGAGCGUAUGGGGCUUCGUCACCCGCUCUUGUAGGCCCGGCCGGCGCUUGCCGACACAUCAAUCUUUUUUCCAGGUUGACCUCGGAUCAGGUAGGGAUACCCGCUGAACUUAAGCAUAUCAAUAAGCGGAGGA
rnacentral:misc_RNA from 1 species